rnacentral:rRNA from 1 species
UGGGGAAUUUUGCGCAAUGGGGCAACCCUGACGCAGCAACGCCGCGUGAGUGAUGAAGGCCUUCGGGUCGUAAAGCUCUGUCAGAGGGGAAGAAAUGCAGGGGUGCUAAUAUCAUCUUUGCUUGACGGUACCCUCAAAGGAAGCACCGGCUAACUCCGUGCCAGCAGCCGCGGUAAUACGGAGGGUGCGAGCGUUGUUCGGAAUUAUUGGGCGUAAAGCGCGUGUAGGCGGUUUGGUAAGUCUGAUGUGAAAGCCCCGGGCUCAACCUGGGAAGUGCAUUGGUAACUGUCAGACUUGAAUACGGGAGAGGGUAGUGGAAUUCCUAGUGUAGGAGUGAAAUCCGUAGAUAUUAGGAGGAACACCGGUGGCGAAGGCGGCUACCUGGACCGAUAUUGACGCUGAGACGCGAAAGCGUGGGGAGCAAACAG